rnacentral:rRNA from 1 species
UACGUAGGGUGCGAGCGUUGUCCGGAAUUAUUGGGCGUAAAGAGCUUGUAGGCGGUUUGUCGCGUCUGCCGUGAAAAUUCGAGGCUCAACCUCGAACUUGCGGUGGGUACGGGCAGACUAGAGUGUGGUAGGGGAGACUGGAAUUCCUGGUGUAGCGGUGAAAUGCGCAGAUAUCAGGAGGAACACCGAUGGCGAAGGCGGCCUCCUGGCUUAAUACUGACGCUGAGGUGCGAAAGCGUGGGGAUCAAACAGG